GCCUGUGUGACGUAGUGGUUAGCUUGUCAGACUUGGGCCUUGGAGACCCGGGUUCGAAUUCCCACAUGGCCA